AAACCUUGCAAAAAAAAUCUGUUCUUAUCAGUUUGAUAUCUGAUACGUCCCCUAUCUGGGGUCCAUAUAUGUAAGUUGAUGUUUGGAACAAGGAGAUGGAAUAGGGGUUUGCUCUGUCCACUCCACUCAUCAACCUGAUAUUGUAGUACCUCCAGGAAUGGUGCACUUUCU
ensembl:snRNA U2 U2 spliceosomal RNA